GUUGUUGCUUCAGCAUCACAUAUACUAAAAUUUAAACAAUACAGAGGUUAGCAUGGCCCUGAGCAAAGAUGACAUGCAAAUUCACAAAGUAUUUCAUAUUUUU
ensembl:snRNA U6 U6 spliceosomal RNA